rnacentral:lncRNA from 1 species
GGGUAAGUGAAAUACAGUAGCAACGAUAAUGAACGAAUGAGAUAUAUAUAUAUGAAAGAACAACUACCGCUACUGUAACGAAGAACUGAAAGCAUACAAGGAUAUCAAAACUAUAGUAGCAAGACAACUGUAAAGAAAGACUAUAAGUAUACAUGCAACAACCGCUACUAUAGCUAUAUGCAUCAACCGGACGAGAAGUCCAAAUAUACCCAAUCUGAAAACUUGGCCCUGUUGGUCCGCACGGCAGACCUCAAGCCUGUCACGCCCCACCCCGAAUCCACUACCAAUUUGGCACGGUUCGGGCGCGCCGGACGGACCGCCGAACGGACAGCACCUCUCCUAUCCGCCCAAGGCUAAACACCCAGAUCAUGUACAAAUAAGCGCCCAGGAAAUGCUUAGAUAACAUACACGAUCGAUAAGAUGCACACAAGUGCAAUACAUCUAAGAGCAAGAACCACAAGUAGAUACAAGUGUAUAAAGAGAGAUAGUCUAACUAUUACAACCAUUCAACAUUUGAAUAUAUUACAUUUUCAACUUCCAAAUGCAAGUACAUGUUUUCCUCAAAAUAUAAGUAGCUCUCUAAUAACCAUCCAAAACAUCAUCUAGUACACGAGGGUACUCUAAUGCAUAAAGGAAAAGCUACUAUCUAAGCUCACUUAGGGCGCUAUGCCCUUGCCGCGGUCCUCGCUCGACUCGCCUCUGUGUGUACCUGUACCCCAAAACCACACGGGGUGAGAACUAUAUAAAUAUAGUUCCCAGUGGGUUCGGCCGCCGACGCCGCCGGUUUUCCCACUAGGUCUAAGCUGGCACAGAUAGAGAGAUAGAUAGAUAUAUAGAGAAUGAACUGCAACUACUCUAUCAUGCCAUCAAUGAUAAUAAUGCAUGAAACAACUACUAUCAUGCUAGUAUCAUGUCAUAAGUAUAGAAAAGUACAUAACAAUGCAAACUGCAACAUACACUAUGUCUACUCAAGGUAAUAAUGCAAAUCUACUAUGCAUUUCAUGUUUAUUACCCAAUCUACUUGGCUAACCCGUAGGUUAAACCCUCGACUCACUCUCAAUCUCAUAGGUGAGGAGAAGCUGCACUCGCACACUGAGACCGUCUGCGGGACAACUACGUCUGCCCCUAGUAAAGUACUCCGGAGACUCAUGCCACAGUGGAGCGACCACCGACGGCGAAAACAAACUAGUGAGUAUGAUCCAAUCCUCACAAGAGGAUACCCUAUCUACAAGGGUCAACGUGCCUCUGCUGCACAAUAUACAAUGCAUCCUAGAUGCCGGGAUCUCAACUAUCCCUAAGUUCACGUCAAGUUUACUACACUAGACUCGAUGCCACUCGUUCGGUCAUUGUAGUAAGUUUUCUACUAGUUGACAUGCCACUCGUUUCAAUUUAGUGUUUCUACUACACUAGUUCAAUGCCACUCUACUAGGCUAUCAUAUGUCCAAGUUCGGCUCUUUAUGCCGCUAUAGGAUUCUAUGUCACAAAACCCAAUCCUCAUGCUAUCCUAGUCCACGUGUCAAGCUCACCCCGCUACACUACCAAGAAAGCAUGCAAGGAAAUGGAAAUGUACAACUACUAUUCCUAUAGCACAAUAUGAUCAAUAUAAUUAACUUAGACAUAAAAGAAAACCCGGAUGUUUCGGGAUGACACCCCCCACCUUUUGUGUAUAAGGAGGCUCUAGAAAUGCGCUUCGGCGUUCUUUACGACGAAGCCUCGGUCUCCUUGGUCCAAAUGACGCUCAAUCGGCCUUGUUUCGCCGAUAGCUCUUGACCCGCUCGACGAAUGCGAAAUCCGACUUCGCCCCCGCGUUUUGGCACCUACCAAUUAGGUUUACAAGGCCUCAAAUGAGAUCAAGCUCAUACUUUACCAAAAACCCUAUUUUGGUGCCCUAGGGUUCCCAUCUUGCCAUUUGCAAUUUGGAACCCUAACUCUAGCUUCAAUCCUCCAACAAUGGUGC